AUUGUGCUUGCACAGAUGACGACCGGCGCACGGGUGCGUAACGCGUAUAGAACCUACCUUUUACAGAGGAAUAGCCUUUAGAAAUGAAGAUUAAUGCCUCAUAGUAUUGAGUAUUCGCAUGAAUAUUUAAUUAAAGAUUUAUCGGUAAAAGAUGGCUAUGCGUCCUAUUAGUUAGUUGGUAAGGUAACGGCUUACCAAGACAGCGAUAGGUAGGGGUCCUGAGAGGGAGAUCCCCCACACUGGUACUGAGACACGGACCAGACUCCUACGGGAGGCAGCAGUGAGGAAUAUUGGACAAUGGAGGAGACUCUGAUCCAGCCAUGCCGCGUGUAGGAAGAAUGCCCUAUGGGUUGUAAACUACUUUUAUACAGGAAGAAACACUGGUAUGUAUACCAGCUUGACGGUACUGUAAGAAUAAGGACCGGCUAACUCCGUGCCAGCAGCCGCGGUAAUACGGAGGGUCCGAGCGUUAUCCGGAAUCAUUGGGUUUAAAGGGUCCGCAGGCGGUCGAUUAAGUCAGAGGUGAAAUCCCAUAGCUCAACUAUGGAACUGCCUUUGAUACUGGUUGACUUGAGUCAUAUG
rnacentral:rRNA from 1 species